GGCGAACGCUGGCGGCGUGCCUAAUACAUGCAAGUCGAGCGAAGUUUUUCUGGUGCUUGCACUAGAAACACUUAGCGGCGAACGGGUGAGUAACACGUAAAGAACCUGCCUCAUAGACUGGGACAACUAUUGGAAACGAUAGCUAAUACCGGAUAACAGUAUUUCUCGCAUGAGAGAUAUUUAAAAGUUGGUUAUGCUAACACUAUGAGAUGGCUUUGCGGUGCAUUAGCUAGUUGGUGGGGUAAAGGCCCACCAAGGCGACGAUGCAUAGCCGACCUGAGAGGGUGAUCGGCCACACUGGGACUGAGACACGGCCCAGACUCCUACGGGAGGCAGCAGUAGGGAAUCUUCCGCAAAGGGCGAAAGCCUGACGGAGCAACGCCGCGUGAGUGAAGAAGGAUUUCGGUUCGUAAAGCUCUGUUGUUAGGGAAGAAUGGAUAUGUAGUAACUAUACAUGUAAGAGACGGUACCUAACCAGAAAGCCACGGCUAACUACGUG
rnacentral:rRNA from 1 species